GUUAUGGGGGCAGCAGUGGCCUCCUGCUGAUUGGGCUGUCAGUGUCAGUGUGUUGCUUGGACUUCCGGUAGCUGGGUUACCUGGAGUUUUUCUACCAGGUUGAAUCAGAGCCAGGUGCUCCAACUGUCCUUGAUUCUGAUCCUUCAAUAAUCUUACAGUAAAUUCCCUUCUGCUUAAUUCAGACAGAGUCUUUUCUGUUGCUUCUAGCCAAUGUCUGACUCAGCCUCUCCUCUGUACUGCCUCCCACUGCAGUGACAUGGAGGGAACUGAGUGAACCUGGAUUGCACUCAAGUUAGCAGAGCUAAGAACUGGAGUCUUGAGUUCCUGUCUUCUAGGCAAGGGCUCUCACUCCACAUGCACAGCUUCUACCUCUGAUCCAGCACAAAGCCCUGCUGAAAAAGGGGGAAGCCAGCUGCCACAUUGUGAGGACACUCAAGCAGCCCUAUGGAGAGGUCCACGUGGUGAGGAACUGAGGCCUCCUGCUAACAACGGGCAUUGACUUACCAGAUAUGGGAGUGAGCUGUCUUGGAAGUGAGCUCUCCAGUCCCAGUCGAGCUUUCAGAUGACCGUCGCCCCAGCCGACAUCGUGACUGCAGCCUCAUGAGAGCAUCUGAGCCACAACCACCAAGCUGAGGCACUCCUCUAAAUUCCAGACUUUUAGAAACUGUAUGAUAAUAAAUAUUUAUUGUUUUAAGCUACUCAGUUUAAUCUGUUAUGCAGCGAUAGAUAACUAUUAUACUUACAUGAGGAGGGACUGAAAAAACCCAGACUUAUUUAUAAAAAAGUUAUGUAUUUAUUCUUACAUGUUUAAACUUCAGUCAUCUUCAAAGUACUCUCCAUUUGAUCCAACACACCUAUCGAGGCAUUUUUAAUCGAGGCAUUUUUUCCACUGCUCAAAACAGUUUUUAAACUUGUUGAUUUUGAUGUCUUUUAGUGCUUCUGCCAUUUUUUGUUUCACCUCUUCCAUAUCAACCAAAUGUUUCCCAUUGAGGACCUUUUUCAU